UUAUCAUGGCUCAGAGCGAACGCUGGCGGCAGGCUUAACACAUGCAAGUCGAGCGGGCCCUUCGGGGUCAGCGGCAGACGGGUGAGUAACACGUGGGAACGUACCCUUUGGUUCGGAAUAACGCUGGGAAACUAGCGCUAAUACCGGAUACGCCCUUUUGGGGAAAGGCUUGCUGCCGAAGGAUCGGCCCGCGUCWGAUUAGCUAGUUGGUGGGGUAAUGGCCUACCAAGGCGACGAUCAGUAGCUGGUAUGARAGGAUGAUCAGCCACACUGGGACUGAGACACGGCCCAGACUCCUACGGGAGACAGCAGUGGGGAAUAUUGGACAAUGGGCGCAAGCCURAUCCAGCCAUGUCGCGUGAGUGAUGAAGGCCUUAGGGUUGUAAAGCUCUUUUGUCCGG
rnacentral:rRNA from 1 species